UUGAAUCUUCUACCUUUACUUUAAGGUUGGAAAUCAUGAUGGGUUUACCUAAGAUAUUGAUGAGAUAUAGAUUAGAUAACUGAGUCAGUUUAUCUGUUGGUUCGGAGCCAGUUUUUAGGAAGCUGCCAAGCGUUCUCAACUGCUGGCUGCAGACUUUUGUCUGCUUCUUUAGAUAUUAUGUCACACUGCAGCACAAUCCUGAUACUGGCGCUCCUAAUAGCCAGUACAUCAUCAGCGCCCACCAACCGGCUCCUCAUGAGCCUGGUCUCAGGAGUCACCACCGGGCUGGAGGUGCCCACCGCCGUGGUCGCAGGCACGGGCGCCGGAACCGGCUCGUUACAACUAGUGGUGAACGUGCAUACGGAUAGUCAUGGAAAUAUCGAAGUUUUUACGAAUUAAUGUGAAGUGGUAAUGUGUGCGUGUGUGGGUUUUAUAUAAGCUAGUGUGUGUGUGUGAAGAAAUGUCAAGUGGAUAGAAAUGGUGAUUUGAAAAUACCCUGCCAAACUGCCGAAAACUUGAAGAUGGAAACUUUGAAGAUGAAAUCUAUUUAAACAGUAUGUUUAUAAUAUCUAAGAUGUAUUAAAAAAUUAUACCUGUGUAAUAUCUAAAACUAGGAAGAAAGUCACCAAAUAGUUACAAAAGCGAGGAAAACGAAAUAUAUCUGAUAAUCAACUUCAAUUUGUAGAUAAGAGAGAUAAACUGCGCGAGAUCACUACGAAAGCGUGUGAACGAUACUUGAUAAGAGAAACGUAAACUACUUACAUAUAAAAGUGGUGUUAUAUACCUCUAUUAUAGUCAAUUAUUUGUACUUCUUAUUAACAUUGCCAGUUGUUUAUAAUUUUGAGAGAAAAUGUAUGUUUUUCAUAAUUAUACUCACACUUAAAGUAAUGAACGAAUUCCGAUAAAACUUCGCAGAUUAGCCAUGCCCAUUGCACAAUAAGUGAAUAAAAAUACCUGACUGAUAUUAGAAAUGCGAAAGUAACUGCCUAUCCGGCUUUCUCGCUAAAACUAAUGAACCUAUUUAAAUGAGGUUUGCUACAGGAACAGUCUUAGAAAGGACAUAGCAUACUUAUUAUUUUGGUUCUCAGGUAAAAUUAAGCUAUAUUUGAUUAUAGAUUAUUCUAACCACAACACACUAACUUGUUGGCACAAAAAUGCUGUUAAUAUAGUUUUAUCUUCUUUCGUUUUAAAAUUCAAAAUCUAAGUCUGUCUGUAUGUACAAACAUUCUUAGCGACUCUAGACGUAUUCGUAAGGAUUGAGACAAAUGCGGCUGUAGUGACAUAUCACAUACUCCUCCUUCAAGUAUUUAAUAGUGACGUAAUUUUGACUUCAGGAAUGCGCCUCAAAGGCAUACCGGCUUCAGUCUGAAUUUCACGGAACAAGAUAAACGUAACUCAAGAAUCCGUCUUUAGGAAAUAUUAAAGUACUAGCUUUUGCCCGCAACUUCGUUCGCGUGGAAUAGUGACUACCAGCAGAUUUUUGAUUUGACCAAUAGAUGGCGCUAUAUGUCCGGAAUAAUUUUAUUUUUAUUUUUAUUUUUGUAAUAAAAACUAUCCUAUGUCCUUUCUCAAGUUUCAAACUAUGUCUGUACCAAAUUUCACACAAAUCGGUUCAGUAGUUUAGGCGUGAAGAAAAGACAGACAGACAGACAGACAGAGUUACUUUCGCAUUUAUAAUAUUAGUUUGGAUGUUGUUCUACAAGAUUGUUGCUAUCUAGCAGAUAAAAUAGGUUUUAUGGCGUUUUUAAGUGUUAAUGUUGAGGGGUGUUAAGUAUUGAAAUAACAGUGACAGUAUCUUGAAAAACGAUGUGAAGUUUCGAGUUUGAAGCACAUAGUUUUUGAUUGAUGAUAAGGAUGUACAAUUAUAUCUUAAUAACAUUACGUUAAUAAGUAACUAUAGUAUGUAUUUCGAAAUUACUUCUAAUGUAUGUAUCUGCAAGUAUAAUAUGCAAAUAUUGACAAAAGCCUUCGGGCCUGACAAAUCGUAAAAACAAAGUUUGAGUUAUGUUGUAUUAAGUGAUAAGUGUUCAUUUCUUACACUACCACUACCACUACCACUACCACUUUAAAAUAAGGCCAUAAGUUACUAUUAUCAAUCUGCUAUUCUCCUACUAGUUAGAAGAAAUAGCAUGAAUACCAGCCCAUUUAAAAAGCCAUAGCGUUUGCAAAUCAAACUCAGUUCGUCAAAAAGUAAGCGAAUUCAGUAUUGAAAACGUACGCCAAUUCAAUUCAGUCAGUAAUUGUUACUGUGAGUCAAAAGUUUGUUUGAAAAACGAAACUUUUUGUUUCACAACUAUCGGGAAACCAGCUAAUUGAACAAUGAUAAAAAUAGGUUUGAAGUGCAGUGAUGCUGAUUGAAAUUCUGUCUAUAGAAUAGUGAUUACUUUAUUACUAUAAAAAAAAUUAUAGCCUAUUUUUCGAAUUUGUUACCGCGUCCUUGAUAUCCAUAAAGAGCUCAAGAAUGAAUAUGGUGGGUUUUAGUUAGUAAGAAUCAUACACUCACGCUGCACCCACAGCGGAAGGGGUUUUCCAUUAAAAAAUGUUACACAUAUUUAUAGAAAUUACUGUGUUGAAGAUAGACACUGUUUUUUUUUAAUACCUGGAAUUUGAACAACUGGGGUACAAAAUAGGUAGCGCGUCAUAUACAUAAAACUGAUGUUUUAUAAUAAUUAUAUCUGACAGAUAUCAAACGAAUGACAUCUAUCAUAAUGUGUGCUUGGCAAUGUGUAUGAACUUAUUAAUAUUAAUUUAAGCUGUAAUUAAGUUUCUGUUGUAUAUAAAACAUUUAUCUGUAUGAAAAGGCUCGUUGUAUCUUAUUGUCUUUUUAUAUUUUUUAUUAAAAAUAAUCGUUAA
rnacentral:lncRNA from 1 species